CGGUGUUCAACUGGCGUGUCCGCGGGACGUCCUGCCGGUGGGCUUAGCCCGCAAGGGCGGCCCAACUUCAAAUCCCAUCGCGGUGCUCUUCACUGAGUGUCGAGGUGGGCCGGCACGUUUACUUUGAACAAAUUAGAGUGCUUAAAGCAGGCUAAAACUUCGCCUGAAUACUGUGUGCAUGGAAUAAUGGAAUAGGACCUCGGUUCUAUUUUGUUGGUUUUCGGAACCCCGAGGUAAUGAUUAAUAGGAACGGAUGGGGGCAUUCGUAUUGCGACGUUAGAGGCGAAAUUCUUGGAUCGUCGCAAGACGGACAGAAGCGAAAGCAUUUGCCAAAAACGCUUUCAUUGAUCAAGAACGAAAGUUAGAGGUUCGAAGGCGAUCAGAUACCGCCCUAGUUCUAACCAUAAACGAUGCCAGCUAGCGAUCCGUCGACGUUCCUCCGAUGACUCGACGGGCAGCUUCCGGGAAACCAAAGCUUUUGGGUUCCGGGGGAAGUAUGGUUGCAAAGCUGAAACUUAAAGGAAUUGACGGAAGAGCACCACCAGGAGUGGAGCCUGCGGCUUAAUUUGACUCAACACGGGAAACCUCACCAGGCCCGGACACCGGAAGGAUUGACAGAUUGAGAGCUCUUUCUUGAUUCGGUGGGUGGUGGUGCAUGGCCGUUCUUAGUUGGUGGAGCGAUUUGUCUGGUUAAUUCCGAUAACGAACGAGACUCUAGCCUGCUAACUAGGCGUAUUUUCGACAUCUCAAAGGUCCGUCGUCCCGGCCCUCGGGUCGUGGGCGUGCGCGAUUUUUACUGUCGGCGUACUAUCAAUUCUUCUUAGAGGGACAGGUGGCUUCUAGCCGCACGAGAUUGAGCAAUAACAGGUCUGUGAUG
rnacentral:rRNA from 1 species